rnacentral:lncRNA from 1 species
GAAACGCUUGAUGGUCCUCAAGGUGGCGACCACUGCCAGCAUCGGCUGCAAAAGCUUGUUGUACCUCUGGUCGUAUGCACACUACUUUAGCGCCCGCCGCCGCCAUCGCAACAGCUCCCGCCCUCUAACUAUUGUCGCUGCUCCGGUCCUCACCAGCCGCGGCGAGGGAGUCCUGCCGCUCGUCGUGGUCAUCUCGCGCCCCACCGCCGCUGCUCCCGUUGUCGUCCCGCCGCACCACUAUGGUGAAGUCGAACGCGAGGGAGUCCCGCCACUCGUCGUGGUCAUCUCGUGCCCCAUCGCCGCUGCUCUCGUCGUCGUCCCGCCGCACCGCUAUGGUGAAGCCGGCCGGGAACGAAGGGCCGAAGCCAUUCGAAUGGGGAAGAGGAGGGCGGUGAUUCAGACAAGCAAGGCACGACGACUUAGAGACCAAGACCUCAACGGCGCGCGGCCUAGCUCGGGGGCAGCGGGCAAAGCUGGAGUUUAG